rnacentral:rRNA from 1 species
UUGGAGGGCAAGUCUGGUGCCAGCAGCCGCGGUAAUUCCAGCUCCAAUAGCGUAUAUUAAAGUUGUUGCAGUUAAAAAGCUCGUAGUUGAACUUCGGGAUCAAUGGAUUGGUCAUGCCGUUGGUAUGUACUGGUCAUAUUGGUUCUCACCUUCUAAGGAACCAUAAUGUCAUUCAUUUGAUGUUUUGGGGAAUUAGGACUGUUACCUUGAAAAAAUUAGAGUGUUUAAAGCAGGCUAACGCUUGAAUACAUUAGCAUGGAAUAAUGAAAUAGGACAUCGCAUUCUAUUUUGUUGGUUUCUAGGAUCGAUGUAAUGAUUAAUAGGGAUAGUUGGGGGCAUUAGUAUUCAAUUGUCAGAGGUGAAAUUCUUGGAUUUAUUGAAGACUAACUACUGCGAAAGCAUUUGCCAAGGAUGUUUUCAUUAAUCAAGAACGAAAGUUAGGGGAUCGAAGACGAUCAGAUACCGUCGUAGUCUUAACCAUAAACUAUGCCGACUAGGGAUCGGAUGAUGUUAAUUUUUUAAUGACUCAUUCGGCGCCUUACGGGAAAC